GAUUCACAUAUGUAGUAUGUUUUCAUAAAUAAUGUGAGGAUGAUACAUUGGAAAUUAAGGAAAAUAUAAUACAUAUGAAAGCCAAAUCAUACAAGUUCAUUAGUUUAAUUAUAUUUGUAGCAUUAACAACUUUAAAGUCUAAAGUAACAUUAUGUAUCUUGGUACUGCGCUCAAGUGUAGCUUUAAGACUACGAAAUAUUUAUCAUCGGCCAUUACCAUCACUACCGGAACCACUCCCUACUCCAACACCUUUGCCAGCUCCACCACCAACACCUACUCCGAUACCAACCCCGAUUCCUCCACCAUGUCCACCUCCUCCUCCUAAUCCUCCCCCUGACCCACCACCUACACCUCCACCCGCACCAAAACCACCACCAUGACCUGAUCCUUCUCCUCCUCCACCUCCGCCACCACCUCCUCCUCCUCCUCCUCCUCCUACUCCUCCACCAGUUCCACCUCCAACUCCGCCACCUUCACCAAAUCCACCACCAUGGCCUGACCCUCCUCCAAGACCACCACCACCGCCUCCUCCUCCACCUCCAGCACCUUCUCCAACGCCACCACCUACACCACCUCCAGCUCCAAAACCUCCACCAUGUCCAAAACCACCUCCGAUACC
rnacentral:lncRNA from 1 species